rnacentral:rRNA from 1 species
GCUAGCGGCAGGCCUAACACAUGCAAGUACGAGGGGCAGCAGACCACUUCGGUGGUGCUGGCGACCGGCGCACGGGUGAGUAUCGCGUUUGUAACCUACCCUUAACUGGGGAAUAGCCCGAAGAAAUUCGGAUUAAUACCCCAUUAAAUUUUAGCACGGCAUCGUGCUUCCAUUAAAGCUCCGGCGGUUAAGGAUGGGCAUGCGUGACAUUAGUUUGUUGGUGAGGUAACGGCUCACCAAGACUACGAUGUCUAGGGGGUCUGAGAGGAUGAUCCCCCACACUGGUACUGAGACACGGACCAGACUCCUACGGGAGGCAGCAGUGAGGAAUAUUGGGCAAUGGACGCAAGUCUGACCCAGCCAUGCCGCGUGCAGGAUGACGGCGCUAUGCGUUGUAAACUGCUUUUAUACAGGAAGAAAUCCCCGAACGUGUUCGGGGUUGACGGUACUGUAAGAAUAA